rnacentral:rRNA from 1 species
AACGCGAAGAACCUUACCCAGGCUUGAACAGCGAGUGACCACUCAUGAAAGUGAGCUUCCGCAAGGACACUCGUAGAGGUGCUGCAUGGCUGUCGUCAGCUCGUGUCGUGAGAUGUUGGGUUAAGUCCCGCAACGAGCGCAACCCUUGUUUGCUGUUGCCAUCAGGUUAUGCUGGGCACUCUGCAAAGACCGCCGGUGAUAAACCGGAGGAAGGUGGGGAUGACGUCAAGUCAGCAUGGCCUUUAUGUCUGGGGCUACACACGUGCUACAAUGGCCGGUACAAACCGUCGCGAGCCCGCGAGGGGGAGCUAAUCGGAGAAAGCCGGUCUCAGUUCGGAUAGCAGGCUGCAACUCGCCUGCUUGAAGUUGGAAUCGCUAGUAAUCGCGGAUCAGCACGCCGCGGUGAAUACGUUCCCGGGCCUUGUACACACCGCUACAGU